rnacentral:rRNA from 1 species
AUUGAACGCUGGCGGCAGGCCUAACACAUGCAAGUCGAGCGGAUGAAGGGAGCUUGCUCCUGGAUUCGGCGGCGGACGGGUGAGUAAUGCCUAGGAAUCUGCCUGGUAGUGGGGGAUAACGUCCGGAAACGGGCGCUAAUACCGCAUACGUCCUGAGGGAGAAAGUGGGGGAUCUUCGGACCUCACGCUAUCAGAUGAGCCUAGGUCGGAUUAGCUAGUUGGUGGGGUAAAGGCCUACCAAGGCGACGAUCCGUAACUGGUCUGAGAGGAUGAUCAGUCACACUGGAACUGAGACACGGUCCAGACUCCUACGGGAGGCAGCAGUGGGGAAUAUUGGACAAUGGGCGAAAGCCUGAUCCAGCCAUGCCGCGUGUGUGAAGAAGGUCUUCGGAUUGUAAAGCACUUUAAGUUGGGAGGAAUGGCAGUAAGUUAAUACCUUGCUGUUUUGACGUUACCAACAGAAUAAGCACCGGCUAACUUCGUG